UCCCUGGUGGUCCAGUGGGUAAGACUCUGCACUCCCAAUGCAGGGGGCCUGGGUUCAAUCCCCAGUCAGGGAA